AUGGAGGGUGGCGCUGGUAGAGGUGCCGGUGCAGUGGAGAUGGCACCGACCCAAAGGAUGACGGCGGCCGCUAGGGUUGGAGGCGUAUUUAUAAUGCCUCUCCUCAAGCCUCCUCCAUGGAUGAUGGUUGCCUUCUUUGAUCCAAGGGUUCAAGGUGACUUCCAGAGAGAAAGCUUCUCGCUCUCUGGCACCGGCAGCAGUGGCACCCAUGGGUGUUGCUUGCUUCAUGAAGACGUCGUCGUAGGUCUCAUCCUUGUGUCAGGGCUUAGAGGAGCUUCUAAGACAACAACUAGUUUUUCAAGCAGAGAAGCAGAGAAGCAGAGAAGCAGAGAAGCAGAGAAGCUGCAUGGAACAGGCCAACAGGGGAGGGGAUCGAUUGGGGAGGAGGAGGAGGAGCGGGAGGUGGUGGGUGAUUUUUGGUGGAGGAGGAGGUGGUGGGUGGUUUCCGGCGCGGCGUUUGGACGGAGGAGGGGGCGGUGGUUUCUGGUUUCCGGCGGAGGAUGGAUGGGGGAGGGGGCGGUGAUUUCUGGUUUCCGGUGGAGGAUUGGAUGGGGGAGGGUGCCGGGGUGUUGGGACGGGGGAGGAAGGCUUGGGCGGGAAUAUAACGUCAGUCCCAAACCAGACCCACCCACCUUCCGCUGCCGGCGACCAGCUGCAGUGGAGCAGCUCAUCUGCGCCUCCCUCCCAUCUCCUUCCACCAACCAUCCCUCUCCGCGCGCCUUCCCGGCCGUCGAGGAUGCCGCGCGCUGGCGCGAGGUCCAGCCCGCCGGACUCUCCACUGGCUCAUCGUCAUCGCAGCGGAGCCGGGGCUCGCAACCACCAGGUUUCCGGCGCGUAUCCUCAAGCGCGCUGGCUCAUCUCUGUCUCCUCGCUGCUAUGCCAGCGACGUCCACGACCUCCUCUCCUCCCCGCACCUCCAGCUCCAAUGGCAGCAUGCCCGUCAUCUGCUCGAUGAAAUGUCUGUGCCCAGUCUACUCGAGGUGCUAUGCCAUGUCAGCUAGGCAAUUAACUCUUCUACAACAGAAACUAUCUGGAAGCAGCAGCUCACUAUACGGAAGCCCUGAAAAGAAUCCAAAUGAACCCGCAGUUUUUAGAAACACAGUUCAAGGUGACAUCUUUCUUGGAGCUCUGCCUGAAGGUCUGGAUAAUGCGGGAAAAUGCAUUGAGCUGGAUCCUACUUAUCUGGCCAGGACAUCAGAGGCAAAACAGGUUGAACGACAGAAGGAAACUGAGGAACAUCUUUCCAAAAUACAACAAGAGUUGCAACAAGUUAAAGCAACAGAAAAUGUGGUCGCUGAUGAGAGCAUAAUGAGCAUGUUCAACAUGAGUUCUUGGAGUCCAGAAGGUCAUAGUGAGGAACUUCAGAAAGCCAAUGAGCAUAGUUUGAAUCUUCAACAUCAACUCUCGGAAUCCAAAGAGCGUACUUCAAUGAAGUUCAGAGAAUGCAGGUUUGCGUCUGUGUACCGAGGUGUCCUCCAGAACAUGAAAGUUGCAAUAAAUGUCCCGUGUGGAGUGCAGAGGAGUAGCCCCUCGCGCGUGACGUUGCACCCCUUGUCGUGCUGCAAAGCCAGCAGUGUAAAUCAAGCGCAUGGAUCCAUAAUGCGGCUUUCGCCUAGGUUGGGCAUCUUUUCCGUGGUAACACCUUCGGCAAGGACACACACUCUCUGUGGCCCACUUGGGGACAUCCUCUACAAACGCUUUAAGCAUCAUAUUGCUGGUAAAGCCCACAGGGUGCAUGCUUGGGUCGGUGUCCUAGUUCGCCUAUUCACCCCCGCUUGCAUUGGUCCGUUCGCUCCCCCAUCUUGCUCGCUUGCUACUUUUUGUUGUUGCUACUUGUCUGCCCUUUCAAAAAAAAUGUUUUAG
rnacentral:rRNA from 1 species